rnacentral:rRNA from 1 species
AGCAGUCGCCGCGGUAAUACGUAGGUGGCAAGCGUUGUCCGGAAUUAUUGGGCGUAAAGGGAGCGCAGGCGGACAUAUAAGUCCAUCUUAAAAGUGCGGGGCUCAACCCCGUGAGGGGAUGGAAACUGUAUGCCUUGAGUGCAGGAGAGGAAAGCGGAAUUCCCAGUGUAGCGGUGAAAUGCGUAGAUAUUGGGAGGAACACCAGUGGCGAAGGCGGCUUUCUGGACUGUAACUGACGCUGAGGCUCGAAAGCCAGGGGAGCGAACGGGAUUAGAUACCCCUGUAGUCCCUGUCUCUUAUACA